rnacentral:rRNA from 1 species
CACACUAUCAUUAACUGAAUCCAUAGGUUAAUGAGGCGAACCGGGGGAACUGAAACAUCUAAGUACCCCGAGGAAAAGAAAUCAACCGAGAUUCCCCCAGUAGCGGCGAGCGAACGGGGAGGAGCCCAGAGCCUGAAUCAGUGUGUGUGUUAGUGGAAGCGUCUGGAAAGGCGCGCGAUACAGGGUGACAGCCCCGUACACAAAAAUGCACAUGCUGUGAGCUCGAUGAGUAGGGCGGGACACGUGGUAUCCUGUCUGAAUAUGGGGGGACCAUCCUCCAAGGCUAAAUACUCCUGACUGACCGAUAGUGAACCAGUACCGUGAGGGAAAGGCGAAAAGAACCCCGGCGAGGGGAGUGAAAAAGAACCUGAAACCGUGUACGUACAAGCAGUGGGAGCCUCUUUAUGGGGUGACUGCGUACCUUUUGUAUAAUGGGUCAGCGACUUAUAUUCUGUAGCAAGGUUAACCGAAUAGGGGAGCCGAAGGGAAACCGAGUCUUAACUGGGCGUUAAGUUGCAGGGUAUAGACCCGAAACCCGGUGAUCUAGCCAUGGGCAGGUUGAAGGUUGGGUAACACUAACUGGAGGACCGAACCGACUAAUGUUGAAAAAUUAGCGGAUGACUUGUGGCUGGGGGUGAAAGGCCAAUCAAACCGGGAGAUAGCUGGUUCUCCCCGAAAGCUAUUUAGGUAGCGCCUCGUGAAUUCAUCUCCGGGGGUAGAGCACUGUUUCGGCAAGGGGGUCAUCCCGACUUACCAACCCGAUGCAAACUGCGAAUACCGGAGAAUGUUAUCACGGGAGACACACGGCGGGUGCUAACGUCCGUCGUGAAGAGGGAAACAACCCAGACCGCCAGCUAAGGUCCCAAAGUCAUGGUUAAGUGGGAAACGAUGUGGGAAGGCCCAGACAGCCAGGAUGUUGGCUUAGAAGCAGCCAUCAUUUAAAGAAAGCGUAAUAGCUCACUGGUCGAGUCGGCCUGCGCGGAAGAUGUAACGGGGCUAAACCAUGCACCGAAGCUGCGGCAGCGACGCUUAUGCGUUGUUGGGUAGGGGAGCGUUCUGUAAGCCUGUGAAGGUGUGCUGUGAGGCAUGCUGGAGGUAUCAGAAGUGCGAAUGCUGACAUAAGUAACGAUAAAGCGGGUGAAAAGCCCGCUCGCCGGAAGACCAAGGGUUCCUGUCCAACGUUAAUCGGGGCAGGGUGAGUCGACCCCUAAGGCGAGGCCGAAAGGCGUAGUCGAUGGGAAACAGGUUAAUAUUCCUGUACUUGGUGUUACUGCGAAGGGGGGACGGAGAAGGCUAUGUUGGCCGGGCGACGGUUGUCCCGGUUUAAGCGUGUAGGCUGGUUUUCCAGGCAAAUCCGGAAAAUCAAGGCUGAGGCGUGAUGACGAGGCACUACGGUGCUGAAGCAACAAAUGCCCUGCUUCCAGGAAAAGCCUCUAAGCAUCAGGUAACAUCAAAUCGUACCCCAAACCGACACAGGUGGUCAGGUAGAGAAUACCAAGGCGCUUGAGAGAACUCGGGUGAAGGAACUAGGCAAAAUGGUGCCGUAACUUCGGGAGAAGGCACGCUGAUAUGUAGGUGAAGCGACUUGCUCGUGGAGCUGAAAUCAGUCGAAGAUACCAGCUGGCUGCAACUGUUUAUUAAAAACACAGCACUGUGCAAACACGAAAGUGGACGUAUACGGUGUGACGCCUGCCCGGUGCCGGAAGGUUAAUUGAUGGGGUUAGCGGUAACGCGAAGCUCUUGAUCGAAGCCCCGGUAAACGGCGGCCGUAACUAUAACGGUCCUAAGGUAGCGAAAUUCCUUGUCGGGUAAGUUCCGACCUGCACGAAUGGCGUAAUGAUGGCCAGGCUGUCUCCACCCGAGACUCAGUGAAAUUGAACUCGCUGUGAAGAUGCAGUGUACCCGCGGCAAGACGGAAAGACCCCGUGAACCUUUACUAUAGCUUGACACUGAACAUUGAGCCUUGAUGUGUAGGAUAGGUGGGAGGCUUGGAAGUGUGGACGCCAGUCUGCAUGGAGCCGACCUUGAAAUACCACCCUUUAAUGUUUGAUGUUCUAACGUUGACCCGUAAUCCGGGUUGCGGACAGUGUCUGGUGGGUAGUUUGACUGGGGCGGUCUCCUCCUAAAGAGUAACGGAGGAGCACGAAGGUUGGCUAAUCCUGGUCGGACAUCAGGAGGUUAGUGCAAUGGCAUAAGCCAGCUUGACUGCGAGCGUGACGGCGCGAGCAGGUGCGAAAGCAGGUCAUAGUGAUCCGGUGGUUCUGAAUGGAAGGGCCAUCGCUCAACGGAUAAAAGGUACUCCGGGGAUAACAGGCUGAUACCGCCCAAGAGUUCAUAUCGACGGCGGUGUUUGGCACCUCGAUGUCGGCUCAUCACAUCCUGGGGCUGAAGUAGGUCCCAAGGGUAUGGCUGUUCGCCAUUUAAAGUGGUACGCGAGCUGGGUUUAGAACGUCGUGAGACAGUUCGGUCCCUAUCUGCCGUGGGCGCUGGAGAACUGAGGGGGGCUGCUCCUAGUACGAGAGGACCGGAGUGGACGCAUCACUGGUGUUCGGGUUGUCAUGCCAAUGGCACUGCCCGGUAGCUAAAUGCGGAAGAGAUAAGUGCUGAAAGCAUCUAAGCACGAAACUUGCCCCGAGAUGAGUUCUCCCUGACCCUUUAAGGGUCCUGAAGGAACGUUGAAGACGACGACGUUGAUAGGCCGGGUGUGUAAGCGCAGCGAUGCGUUGAGCUAACCGGUACUAAUGAACCGUGAGGCUUAACCUUACAACGCCGAAG